rnacentral:rRNA from 1 species
CCUACGGGUGGCAGCAGUGGGGAAUAUUGCACAAUGGGGGAAACCCUGAUGCAGCGACGCCGCGUGAGUGAAGAAGUAAUUCGUUAUGUAAAGCCCUAUCAGCCGGGAAGAAAAUGCCGGUACCUGAGUAAGAAUCCCCGGCUAACUACGUGCCAGCAGCCGCGGUAAGACGUCGGGGGCAAGCGUUAUCCGGAUUUACUGGGUGUAAAGGGAGCGUAGACGGCAGUGCAAGUCUGGAGUGAAAGGCGGGGGCUCAACCCCCGGACUGCUCUGGAAACUGUACGGCUGGAGUGCAGGAGAGGUAAGUGGAAUGCCUGGUGUAGCGGUGAAAUGCGUAGAUAUUAGGCGGAACACCAGUGGCGAAGGCGGCUUGCUGGACUGUAACUGACGUUGAGGCACGAAAGCGUGGGGAGCAAACAGGAUUAGAUACCCCGGUAGUC